UACGUAGGGUGCAAGCGUUAAUCGGAAUUACUGGGCGUAAAGCGUGCGCAGGCGGUUUGCUAAGACAGGUGUGAAAUCCCCGGGCUUAACCUGGGAACUGCGCUUGUAACUGGCAAGCUAGAGUGUGGCAGAGGGGGGUGGGAAUUCCACGUGUAGCAGUGAAAUGCGUAGAAGAUGUGGAGGAACACCGAUGGCGAAGGCAGCCCCCUGGGCUAACACUGACGCUCAUGCACGAAAGCGUGGGGAGCAAACAGG
rnacentral:rRNA from 1 species